rnacentral:rRNA from 1 species
CUGGUUUAGUGGCGCACGGGUGAGUAACACGUGAAUUACAUGCCCUUCAGAGGGGGAUAGCCCAGGGAAACUUGGAUUAAUACCCCAUGGUCUCGCAAGAGUAAAGGUGGCCGCAAGGCUGUCGCUGAAGGAUUGGUUCGCGCCCUAUCAGCUUGUUGGCGGGGUAACGGCCCACCAAGGCUACGACGGGUACCUGGUUUGAGAGGACGAUCAGGCACACUGGAACUGAGACACGGUCCAG